rnacentral:rRNA from 1 species
UAAUACAUCGGAACGUGCCCAAUCGUGGGGAUAACGUAGCGAAAGCUACGCUAAUACCGCAUACGAUCUACGGAUGAAAGCGGGGGAUCGCAAGACCUCGCGCGAAUGGAGCGGCCGAUGGCAGAUUAGGUAGUUGGUGGGGUAAAGGCUCACCAAGCCUUCGAUCUGUAGCUGGUCUGAGAGGACGACCAGCCACACUGGGACUGAGACACGGCCCAG